rnacentral:rRNA from 1 species
UGGGGAAUAUUGGACAAUGGGCGAAAGCCUGAUCCAGCCAUGCCGCGUGUGUGAAGAAGGUCUUCGGAUUGUAAAGCACUUUAAGUUGGGAGGAAGGGCAUUAACCUAAUACGUUAGUGUUUUCACGUUACCGACAGAAUAAGCACCGGCUAACUCUGUGCCAGCAGCCGCGGUAAUACAGAGGGUGCAAGCGUUAAUCGGAAUUACUGGGCGUAAAGCGCGCGUAGGUGGUUUGUUAAGUUGGAUGUGAAAUCCCCGGGCUCAACCUGGGAACUGCAUUCAAAACUGACUGACUAGAGUAUGGUAGAGGGUGGUGGAAUUUCCUGUGUAGCGGUGAAAUGCGUAGAUAUAGGAAGGAACACCAGUGGCGAAGGCGACCACCUGGACUAAUACUGACACUGAGGUGCGAAAGCGUGGGGAGCAAACA